GGGUUGUGAGGUUAAGCGACUAAGCGUACACGGUGGAUGCCCUGGCAGUCAGAGGCGAUGAAGGACGUGCUAAUCUGCGAUAAGCGUCGGUGAGGUGAUAUGAACCGUUAUAACCGGCGAUUUCCGAAUGGGGAAACCCAGUGUG
rnacentral:rRNA from 1 species